UUUUCAGGGGUUACAAAGCAUGAAAUAGUCUGAAGGACUUCAAAAGUUUUGACCUCAUAAUUGUUAACAGGAUAUUCUAUUACAUUUGUGAUUUUCAAGACAAAUUUGGAGUAUGUUGUUUGCAGCUGCUAGACUGUGUUCAGAGUUCUUCAAGAUCUCACUUUGGAUCCCUCUCGUAUCAUUUAUGUGUUUAAACCCAAAAGAAGGAGAAAUAGCAGAGAAGAGUGAAAAAUAAAGUCACAGUCGGGAAAGAACAUGCCUGGAACACCUUUUGGCAUCAAGCAUGAUCAUCACAUGCUGU